CCUGCCCCUAGAAGUGUUGCAAAUGUGGAUUCUAUAUCAUGUGCGUGUCCAUAGGUGACAGAGAGGAGAGAGGCUAUCUCUACACUCAGCAUUCUGACAUGAAUGUCUGAAUAAUUAGUGGCCUAACAGU